rnacentral:rRNA from 1 species
CCUACGGGAGGCAGCAGUGAGGAAUAUUGGUCAAUGGACGAGAGUCUGAACCAGCCAAGUAGCGUGAAGGAUGACUGCCCUAUGGGUUGUAAACUUCUUUUAUAUGGGAAUAAAAUGUUCCACGUGUGGGUUUUUGUAUGUACCAUAUGAAUAAGGAUCGGCUAACUCCGUGCCAGCAGCCGCGGUAAUACGGAGGAUCCGAGCGUUAUCCGGAUUUAUUGGGUUUAAAGGGAGCGUAGGUGGAUUGUUAAGUCAGUUGUGAAAGUUUGCGGCUCAACCGUAAAAUUGCAGUUGAAACUGGCAGUCUUGAGUACAGUAGAGGUAGGCGGAAUGCGUGGUGUAGCGGUGAAAUGCUUAGAUAUCACGAAGAACUCCGAUUGCGAAGGCAGCUCACUGGACUGCAACUGACACUGAGGCUCGAAAGUGUGGGUAUCAAACAGGAUUAGAUACCCCAGUAGUC